rnacentral:rRNA from 1 species
CAGCCGCCGCGGGAAUACGAAGGGGGCUAGCGUUGCUCGGAAUGACUGGGCGUAAAGGGCGCGUAGGCGGUUUAUACAGUCAGAUGUGAAAUUCCUGGGCUCAACCUGGGGACUGCAUUUGAUACGUAUGGACUUGAGUGGAGAAGAGGGUCGUGGAAUUUCCAGUGUAGAGGUGAAAUUCGUAGAUAUUGGAAAGAACACCGGUGGCGAAGGCGGCGACCUGGUCUUUAACUGACGCUCAUGCACGAAAGCGUGGGGAGCAAACAGGAUUAGAUACCCGCGUAGUCCCUGUCUCUUAUAC